rnacentral:rRNA from 1 species
UAAUACGUAGGUGGCAAGCGUUGUCCGGAUUUAUUGGGUUUAAAGGGUGCGUAGGCGGCCCUGUAAGUCAGUGGUGAAAUAUCUCAGCUUAACUGAGAGGGUGCCAUUGAUACUGCAGGGCUUGAGUACAGAUGAGGUAGGCGGAAUUGACGGUGUAGCGGUGAAAUGCAUAGAUAUCGUCAAGAACACCGAUAGCGAAGGCAGCUUACUAAGCUGUAACUGACGCUGAGGCACGAAAGUGUGGGGAUCAAACAGG